rnacentral:rRNA from 1 species
AGCUCCAAUAGCGUAUAUUAAAGUUGUUGCAGUUAAAAAGCUCGUAGUAGAAUUUCUGGUGGGGGAAUGCAGUUCAAGCUAUGCUUGAUACUCGCACUCUCCGGCCAUCUUUGAGUGGAGCCUGUCUGGCAUUAAGUUGUCGGGCUGGGGAUGCUCAUCGUUUACUGUGAAAAAAUUAGAGUGUUCAAAGCAGACUUAUGUCGUUGAAUAUAUUAGCAUGGGAUAAUAAGAUAAGACUUCGGUACUAUUUUGUUGGUUAGGUGCCGUUGUAAUGAUGAACAGGGACAGUUGUGGGUAUUCGUAUUCACUUGUAAGAGGUGAAAUUCUUAGAUUAAGGGAAGACGAACUACUGCGAAAGCAUUUACCAAGGAUGUUUUCA